GAACGUUAGCGGCGGGCCUAACACAUGCAAGUCGUACGAGAACGCUCCUUCGGGAGUUAUUAAAGUGGCGCACGGGUGAGGAACGCGUAGGUAAUCUACCCUCAGGCGGGGGACAACACUCCGAAAGGAAUGCUAAUACCGCGUAAGACCACACUUACUAAGGUGAGAGUGGUAAAAGAUGGCCUCUUCUUGAAAGCUAUCACCAGAGGAUGAGCCUGCGUCCCAUCAGCUUGUUGGUAAGGUAACGGCUUACCAAGGCGAAGACGGGUAGCUGGUCUGAGAGGAUGAUCAGCCACACUGGUACUGGAACACGGACCAGACUCCUACGGGAGGCAGCAGUGAGGAAUAUUGGGCAAUGGGCGAAAGCCUGACCCAGCCACGCCGCGUGUGUGAUGAAGGCCUUCGGGUCGUAAAGCACUGUGGGGAGAGACGAAACAGCGCAGUACGGAAAUCGACUGCGCCUUGACGGUACCUCCUUAGCAAGCACCGGCUAACUCUGUG
rnacentral:rRNA from 1 species